UACAGAGGGGCAAGCGUUGUUCGGAAUUACUGGGCGUAAAGGGCUCGUAGGUGGCCAACUAAGUCAGACGUGAAAUCCCUCAGCUUAACUGGGGAACUGCGUCUGAUACUGGAUGGCUUGAGUUUGGGAGAGGGAUGCGGAAUUCCAGGUGUAGCGGUGAAAUGCGUAGAUAUCGUCAAGAACACCGAUAGUGUAGACAGCUAACUAGCUUAACUGACGCUGAGGCACGAAAGUGUGGGGAUCAAACAGG
rnacentral:rRNA from 1 species